AUUGAACGCUGGCGGCAGGCCUAACACAUGCAAGUCGAGCGGAUGAAGGGAGCUUGCUCCUGGAUUCAGCGGCGGACGGGUGAGUAAUGCCUAGGAAUCUGCCUGGUAGUGGGGGAUAACGUCCGGAAACGGGCGCUAAUACCGCAUACGUCCUGAGGGGGAAAGUGGGGGAUCUUCGGACCUCACGCUAUCAGAUGAGCCUAGGUCGGAUUAGCUAGUUGGUGGGGUAAAGGCCUACCAAGGCGACGAUCCGUAACUGGUCUGAGAGGAUGAUCAGUCAAACUGGAACUGAGACACGGUCCAGACUCCUACGGGAGGCAGCAGUGGGGAAUAUUGGACAAUGGGCGAAAGCCUGAUCCAGCCAUGCCGCGUGUGUGAAGAAGGUCUUCGGAUUGUAAAGCACUUUAAGUUGGGAGGAAGGGCAGUAAGUUAAUACCUUGCUGUUUUGACGUUACCAACAGAAUAAGCACCGGCUAACUUCGUG
rnacentral:rRNA from 1 species